GCAUUUAACGUCAAGCUAUACUCUACGUUCUAUAAUAAAUACACGUAAACAGUCCGUCAAUACUAAAACUGAAAGGUUAUAUUUAAUAAAAAUGGAUAUAGACCCGACAGAAACCUAUGUCGAGAGGAUAAAGAGAACGGGAACAUGGCUCAACCCCUUCCGGCUUGCUAGAUACGUUUUUGAGAAGGGUCAGAUACUUGCAAAUGAAUUUGCAAGAAUCGCAACUUCGUGGCAAUAAGACUAUCAUCAAGGAACAUUACUUGAUUAAAAGGGACGCCUGUAUAAUUUGCUUGUUAAUGCUCAAUUUAAUAAUUUCCUGCUGCUCUGCAGCUCAGCUGUCUAAUUUCUUGGCCAUCUAAAAUUCAAGGGUGAUCAAUGUACAGGGACAAGUCUAUUCAUUAUCGACCAGUGUAUGCCUGAGGUUGUCACGGUACUGUACUGCAGUGUACUGUACUGUACAGUAACUAAGACUGUUCAAAAUUUUAAAGCUUAAAGUUUGAAGACAUGAAGCCUUAAAAUCUCGAUAAAUAUUUGGCCAGUGUAACCCUUAUCCUAAAAUAUAUUAUAUGUUCUUUUA